AUCCUGUUCUCACCUUGGAUCUGAAGCUUUAAAACCCUCAAAAUUUACAUCAAUUAGUAAAAUUCCCGGGGGUAAAAAACUAAUUACAUUCAUUUUCAUUUAGAUCAGUCAGCCGUUCACCUGUAGAAAGAUCAACUGACACAAUUCACUAGCUCCGCAAUGAGCUCUCCGGGUUGUGAAUUAUUCUGUGGAUUUAUAGAGCUAUGUAAGGGACUAACAAUGAUACUAAUCGGCGGCGACAUUGUUGUUCAGCUUAUCCCUUCUUCUGUUACUUACCUCGCUCUUAUUCCCCCAGGACAGUUCCUUUUGGUUGGAACCUCAUAACAAGCUGGUUAUAUUGAACAAUCAGUACAUGGGGUUGUUGUCAGCACUAUUGGUCUUCUUUUCAUGGGGAAGUUGCUUGAGCCUAUAUGGGGUUCUAAGGAGUUCCUAAAGUUCAUCUUCGUAAUUAACUUCCUAACUUCUUUCUGUGUUUUCAUAACUGCUGUCGCUUUAUACUACAUAACAAUGCAGGAAAAUUACCUGCGAGUACUACAAUCCCCUCUGUGUUUUUGUAAGCAUUUUUUUUCUAUUAAUUCUUCGCAUAGCCUUACAUCUUCUGCUUGUUCUUUUUCCUCCAUUCUUAUCAAAUGUUUGAGAAUUGAAAUAGAAUAUAUUUCUAUAUUGAAGCACUCACCCUUUUCCCCUCAUUGUUCUUAUUGGUAGGACUAUGGCAUAUUUUUCUCGAAGUUUAUGAAAUAUAUUGUGCAAAUUUUAACCUAAUUAUUUUUCAAUCAUGUUUACAACCCUUAUACCUCUGAACUAUGUUACUUAGACUCGGGUGUAAGUGCGGAUAUGAGCAUAUUCCAAAAUUGGAAUGUUUAAUCAUAUCCCAUGCCCAUGUCCGAGUAUGUGUUUGAUGUGGGUACUAUAGGGAAAAAUGAAGAGUGCCUCUCAACCCUUGGCCUGCUAAUUUUCUUUUGGUCAUUUUGCUAGUAACAUGCCUCAUUCCGGUUUCCAUGGAGUGCUGGCGGGUUUCUUGGUUGGCAUCAAACAAAUUGUACCUGACCAAGAACUAUCUUUGCUAAAAAUAAAAGCGAAGUGGCUGCCGUCACUUAUGCUGUUGAUUUCUAUCUCCCUAAGUUUCUUCACCCCAGAGUCAGCAACAUAUCAUCCAACUUUUUGAUAUUUGGAACAUAUAUGGGGUGGAUUUACCUCAGAUACUUUCAGAGAAAAUCUGAAGCAAAGCACAGGGGUGAUCCAAGUGAAGAUUUUUCAUUCUCUAUGUUUUCCCCCGAAUUUAUAAA